rnacentral:rRNA from 1 species
AUUGAACGCUGGCGGCAUGCCUUACACAUGCAAGUCGAACGGCAGCACGGGAGCAAUCCUGGUGGCGAGUGGCGAACGGGUGAGUAAUAUAUCGGAACGUGCCCAGUAGUGGGGGAUAGCCCGGCGAAAGCCGGAUUAAUACCGCAUACGACCUGAGGGUGAAAGCGGGGGAUCGCAAGACCUCGCGCUAUUGGAGCGGCCGAUAUCAGAUUAGCUAGUUGGUGGGGUAAAGGCCUACCAAGGCGACGAUCUGUAGCUGGUCUGAGAGGACGACCAGCCACACUGGGACUGAGACACGGCCCAGACUCCUACGGGAGGCAGCAGUGGGGAAUUUUGGACAAUGGGCGCAAGCCUGAUCCAGCCAUGCCGCGUGCGGGAAGAAGGCCUUCGGGUUGUAAACCGCUUUUGUCAGGGAAGAAACGGCUCUUGCUAAUAUCGAGAGCUAAUGACGGUACCUGAAGAAUAAGCACCGGCUAACUACGUGCCAGCCGCCGCAGUAA